rnacentral:lncRNA from 1 species
CACGCUCCCACCGGUGAGUGCAUGUAGUCAUCUGGGCACCUACCGUGUGCUCCUUGGAUCCCAGGAUGAGCAGUGAAGAAAGGAUGGCGGGGGAUGAAAGAGAUCCCCUCCCACCCUCAUCCCACUCUCAAGGCUCUAGCUGGAAGGCAGAGGCAACACUGCAGAUGAAGUUCUGAAAGUGAGAUGGUGGGCAGGUAAAGGAGCUGCCAGCCCCAUGGUGCCAUGGCUGUGGGGUUUUAAGCAGCACCCACCGAGUCAGCCAGAAACCUCUGAUUCCACCUAGAAAAAUAAGGGAAGAGUUACACCAGGAAGCAAGAUAAUGAAACUCAUCUUGAAGCUUAAACGUGGACGGAGUGGUUCCUCAGUGCCAGACAGCUCCCCGCAAGCACAUAGGAGUUUAAUAGCUGUUUAUUCUUCCAUAUAGACUAAAACUACAUUCAUCAGAAAAAGGGGAGUAAUUCAUUUCCUAUCCCAAUUAUGGAUAUAGCAGACUGAAGAAUAUUUUCAAAGAAAUACAGUUUAUUAUGAUCACAAACUUGACCUAGAGUAAACUAAGAUGUAAAUGGAUAUUUACACUGGAUAGUAAUUGUUUUCAAGUUAUAAAAAUACUUAAGUUUACAAUGGACAUUUACUACA